GGAGUUACGACGGCCAGUGAUUAGAGUUUGAUCCUGGCUCAGGACGAACGCUGGCGGCGUGCUUAACACAUGCAAGUCGAACGGGGAAUUUUAUUUCGGUAGAAUUCCUAGUGGCGAACGGGUGAGUAACGCGUAGGCAACCUGCCCUUCAGACGGGGACAACAUUCCGAAAGGGAUGCUAAUACCGGAUACGAAGCUUCUGCCGCAUGACGGAAGCUUGAAAGGUGCCCUCAAGCACCGCUGAAGGAUGGGCCUGCGUCCGAUUAGCUGGUUGGUGGGGUAACGGCUCACCAAGGCGACGAUCGGUAGCCGGUCUGAGAGGAUGAACGGCCACAUUGGGACUGAGACACGGCCCAGACUCCUACGGGAGGCAGCAGUGGGGAAUCUUCCGCAAUGGGCGAAAGCCUGACGGAGCAACGCCGCGUGAGUGAUGAAGUUCUUCGGAACGUAAAACUCUGUUGUUCACGACGAACGGGGGGACCAGGAAAUGGGUUCCCAGUGACGGUAGUGAACGAGGAAGCCACGGCUAACUACGUGCCAGCAGCCGCGGUAAUACGUAGGUGGCAAGCGUUGUCCGGAAUUAUUGGGCGUAAAGCGCAUGUAGGCGGUUCCUUAAGUCGGUCGUGAAAAUGCGGUGCUUAACGCCGUAUGGCGAUCGAAACUGGGGGACUUGAGUGCAGAGAGGAAAGGGGAACUCCCAGUGUAGCGGUGAAAUGCGUAGAUAUUGGAAGAACACCGGUGGGCGAGCGCUUUCUGACUGUGUCUGACGCUGAGAUGCGAAAGCAGGUAGCGACGGGAUAGAAUACCCGUAGUCUGCGUAAACGAUGGGUACUAGGUGUGGGAGGUAUCGACCCACUGCGGAUACGCAUAGUACCCGCCUGGGGAGUACGCGCAAGGCCUAGCUCAGAUGAGGGCCCGCCAACGGUUGAAUAUUGUUAUUCGAGCACCGGAGAAGUCUUACAGCUUGACUAUGAAGACUGAACGGGUCCCUCUCGAGCCAGAC
rnacentral:rRNA from 1 species